UCUAGGCCCACGGUGACAGCGUUGUCCACAGACCUGUACGCUCUGUAGGUAACCUGCAGUGGGUCGAGGGAGGCGUCAGUGAUGGUUUAGAGAUGGGACAGUACCAGGCGCUCAAAGGUUUUCAUGAUGACCAAGGUCCUGAAAGACCCAUGGGAAUGCUUUCUAAGAGGUCCUAGGAACAGAAGGGGAAAGUGGAGAAACUAAAAGCUGCUCCAUCCGCCAUUGAACGAAAUCGCAGAUUCAGCUCAUGUGAUCAUAGUUCGGAGGCCAUAAGUCUCUGAAUUUGUACACCUCCCGGUGACUGUUCAUUUGUUUGUUUGUUUAAUUCAUGUUUUAUAA